GCACCCAUAGCUCAGCUGGAUAGAGCGCUGGACUUCGAAUCCAUCGGUGGCAGGUUCAAAUCCUGUUGGGUGUACCA
rnacentral:tRNA from 2 species